rnacentral:rRNA from 1 species
UAGGGAAUCUUCCGCAAUGGGCGAAAGCCUGACGGAGCAACGCCGCGUGAGUGAUGAAGGUCUUCGGAUCGUAAAACUCUGUUAUUAGGGAAGAACAAAUGUGUAAGUAACUAUGCACGUCUUGACGGUACCUAAUCAGAAAGCCACGGCUAACUACGUGCCAGCAGCCGCGGUAAUACGUAGGUGGCAAGCGUUAUCCGGAAUUAUUGGGCGUAAAGCGCGCGUAGGCGGUUUUUUAAGUCUGAUGUGAAAGCCCACGGCUCAACCGUGGAGGGUCAUUGGAAACUGGAAAACGUGAGUGCAGAAGAGGAAAGUGGAAUUCCAUGUGUAGCGAUGAAAUGCGCAGAGAUAAGGAGGAACACCAGUGGCGAAGGCGACUUUCUGGUCUGUAACUGACGCUGAUGUGCGAAAGCGUGGGGAUCAAACAGG